UCAAAGGUUAUGUGGGAUUGGGGGUCAAUAUAAUCAACCCAAUAGACUAUUAUCCCUAUUAUUCAAUGUUUGUAUUCAAAUUACUUGGACCAUCGCAUUUAAUACCCAGUUUGUCUUGUAUAAUUUCUUAAGUUGUCUCCCUUAAAUCCAAUAAUAAAAACAUUGGCUUCAAUUUAGUGAUAAGUUUUGCAUCACAUAUCAAACUCCGCUAGCUAGAGACACUAGGGUGAAAUUUCCCUUACGCAUUCCCCCUCUCUCCACUCACAAAGGGGUUAACCUGCAAACCCAAGCAGAUGGAUCUGUGAGAGAUUCUAACCUGAUAGGGUUCUUUUUCCUUACCUUUAAAAAAAAAAAGUCCAAUCAAAACAACAUUACAAACCGCACUUAGAAAAUUUAAAGUUGUGACUUAUCAUACGCGGAACAUAAAUCAGUUAGGUUUAUAAGAUUCGGGUUCGUGACAAGCUGUUUGGGCCUAUAUGUUCAUCUCGUCGUAUCAAUUGGGCUUAUAAUAAUCCUAUAUGUAUUCAUCUCAACAUAUCCAUCAAGAUUAUAUGGAGCAACAUAUUAUUACCAGUAGACUUCAUUCCACUCUCAAGCAAUCAUCGGCGUUGAAUGGCCAGGAAAUGACUGCUCUUUAAAGGGAGAAACUUGGGAAAAUCACUAACCUAGGCUAUCUUAAAAGGAGAUUAUCGCCUAACUUUUUUGCUGUUGGAACACAGUGUACAAAUUCAGGGUACAUUCGAUGAAGAUCCUCUCCUGUCAAAAUUAGCAGCUGCAGGAACAAAAGACAAUGAUGUUGAUAAACUUUUUUUUGCUAAUGCUCCAAAAUUCUGAAAAACUUUACUACAAGAAUGUAGAAAUGUUCUAAGAAGAAAAGCCAC